AUUGAACGCUGGCGGCAGGCCUAACACAUGCAAGUCGAGCGGAGCGGCGGACGGGUGAGUAAUGCCUAGGAAUCUACCUGGUUGUGCGGGACAACGUCCGGAAACGGGCGCUAAUACCGCAUACAAACAGAGGAGCCUAGGUCGGAUUAGCUAGUUGGUGGGGUAAAGGCCUACCAAUGCGAAGAUCCGUAACUGGUCUAAGAGGAUGAUCAGUCACACUGGAAGUGAGACACGGUCCAGACUCCUACAGGAGGCAGCAGUGGGGAAGAUUGGACAAUGGGCGAAAGCCUGAACCAGCCAGGCCGCGUGUGUGAAGAAGGUCUUCGGAUUGUAAAGCACUUUAAGUUGGGAGGCGUUACCAACAGAAUAAGCACCGGCUAACUUCGUGCCAGCAGCCGCGGUAAUUC
rnacentral:rRNA from 1 species